rnacentral:rRNA from 1 species
UACGUAGGUGGCAAGCGUUGUCCGGAUUUACUGGGCGUAAAGGGCGUGCAGGCGGUCUGCUAAGUCUAGGGUGAAAGCUCCCGGCUCAACUGGGAGAGGUCCUUGGAUACUGGCGGACUUGAGGGAGGUAGAGGAGAGUGGAAUUCCCAGUGUAGAGGUGAAAUUCGUAGAUAUUCGCAAGAACACCAGUGGCGAAGGCGGCUCACUGGCCCGGUACUGACGCUGAGGUGCGAAAGCGUGGGGAGCAAACAGG